CCACCAUGUGGAAAUGGAGUGAGCAGGAACAGCACACUGACAUCUGGCCACUUAUGUUUUUUCUGGAGCAAGAUACAAGUCCCCUAAUUAAUUAUGGAUCAAACCAUCAAUGCCUAAAAGAGGUGAGUUUCACUCUCAUAAAAGGAGCUCAGUUUUUUUAAAGGCUUUCAUGUGAAUUUUCAGAGGCUGGCAGCAUCUUUCUGCUGUGCUUAAUAGCGAAGGGUGAAUGCUUCAUUUUCUACCAAAACACGCCUUCCACGUGUGGGGAUCUCCAACGGGCGUCUGGAGCUCUUGGCUGGAGAGGCUGCCUCUGCCCCAGUGCCAGGUGCGCUGGAGAAAACAGGCAUGGGAGCACAGGAAGGAUCACAGCUGUCGCACAGGAGGCAUGGAGCUGACGGGACCUCCAGGGGCACAGGAUGGGGUCAGGAUAGGCGAGGACCUUUGGAUGGCCGGAGAUGGCAGAGCACUGAGAAAGAACAGCUUCUGCGGAGCUGCGAGGAAAAUAAAUAGAGCCAUUCGCCUUCAUCUCCUUGAGCUAGCUGUCAGACUAUAUCGACUAAUAUGGAGUCCGUCUAGUUGUGUAUGAGUCUGUGUGCAAUUGCAUGUGUGUAUUUGCAGCUUUGAUCCGGAAGCCUUCUAAAAAAGAAACUGAUGGCUGGCUGCCAUCAACACAUUUCCUUUCCUCCAGUUCUGUAUGAAACCAAGCCUGUGUGUCAAGGGUUCCCCUAAGUGUGGAGCUCCAGUUCCA
rnacentral:lncRNA from 1 species